rnacentral:rRNA from 1 species
UAUGCGAUACUUGGUGUGAAUUGCAGAAUUCAGUGAAUCAUCGAAUCUUUGAACGCACCUUGCGCUCCUUGGUAUUCCUGAGGAGCACACCUGUUUGAGUGUCGUGUAAUUCUCAACCUACAAGGUCUUUGUGGGCCUUGUUAGGCUUGGAUAUUGGAGGAUAUAAUUGUCGGCAUGAGUCGGCUCCUCUUAAAUGCAUUAGCUUGGUCCUUUGUGGAUCGGCUCUCGGUGUGAUAAGUUGUUUAUGCCGUGACCGUGAAGCAUUUUCUAUGGGAAGGAGCUUAUAAUCGUCUCUUCACUUGAGACAAUACACUUUGACAUCUGACCUCAAAUCAGGUGGGACUACCCGCUGAACUUAAGCAUAUCAAUAAGCGGAGGAA